rnacentral:rRNA from 1 species
UACGAAGGGUGCAAGCGUUACUCGGAAUUACUGGGCGUAAAGCGUGCGUAGGUGGUGGUUUAAGUCUGCUGUGAAAGCCCUGGGCUCAACCUGGGAAUUGCAGUGGAUACUGGAUCACUAGAGUGUGGUAGAGGGAUGCGGAAUUUCUGGUGUAGCAGUGAAAUGCGUAGAGAUCAGAAGGAACAUCCGUGGCGAAGGCGGCAUCCUGGGCCAACACUGACACUGAGGCACGAAAGCGUGGGGAGCAAACAGGAUUAGAUACCCUGGUAGUCAAGGGCG